AUUUUCAGAAAUGAGGGGAGAGAGAGCGGCGGGGUCAGAGCACCUGUUCAUUUCAUUCCCCAUUUUCUCUCUAAGGUUAGUCUCUUUCCUCUCUCCUCGAUCGCAUCGAUUGGCAAUUUUUCGCAUCCAACCUCUUGCAUCACCCGCACAUCAGCAACUCGGCUAGAUCCGGUUGUCAUCAACGGCAUCUUGGACGAGCUGGGGAUUCCGCGGUGUCUAUCCGGGAGCGAGGUGUCGAAGCGCAGAUCAGGACACUCUUAGAUAGAUCUGCGUGAAAUCAAAAUCCAAUCGUGCCCCCCCCCCCCCCCCCCCUCCUCCGCUCAUGGCCCGCAGCUCGCUGGCGGUUCUGCUCCUGCUUGCGAUGCUCCCGGGCGUGGCCGCUGCUGGGGACAUCUUCCACCAGGACGACUAGGCGUUGAAGAUUCCCGGCUGCACCAACAAUUUGAUCCUGGUAUGGUCGCGCCGUACGGUCUUGCCUGCACGAGUAUCUGUCGACUCAGGAGCAUCUUUGCUUGCAAGCUGCUGGGGAACAACUUUAUUAGGGACGAUUGCAAUUUCCUGACUUAAAAAGGUGCUUGGUUCGUUGAUAAUGAAGUGACAAAAGGGCAGAAGCAGCAGCAAGGUCAUGCUGCCUCAUCUAAUGUGGGAAGGAGGUUGCCCAAAUAAUUUGUGAAUAUUUAAAGGAUGAACUAUGAUUUACAUUACUCGGCAAGAAGAUGUAGAUGCAGUAAGAUUUGAUUCACUCUUAGAUUGUAAAAAGCAGCAUUUCUUUGCUUGUCCAUAGUCAAGCUUCCGGGAAAAACUAUUUUUUGCUGCAGGCAAGAUAUGAAUGACAGAAUGAGCUCAUACAAUGAUGUGACAGUCAAAACUAGUGAGGCUUCACUUUACACGAUCAUGAAAGGAGCUAAUAAGUUAUACAAGUAUGAAGUACAGUAAUGUGCGUUUGUGAUAAUAUGAUCGAAGUUCUUGUGAGAUGCCUGCACAGCACUAGAGUCAUGAAAGUUUAAUAGUUGCCUGUGAUGUAGUUUUUUAUUCAAGGAAUGAGGGAGAGGCAAAUCUAUUUGUGUAAAUAGACUUCUGUAAACUAAUUGCUAUGCUUAUGACAUUUUGCAGUUCUGUAUAAUGUGUGUAUACUUACUCAUAUGCAUUCUAAAUACAAUUAUAUAUUCUAUCCA